AAAAUUGUUUGAUACCUAGCUCAAAAUGCUUACGUGGUUCACCCCAAAUCAAUAACCCUUUUCAACUCACAAACGGGGAGUCACUACCCUAAUUUGAUUUCCUCAACUUUGCAGCGCUGAGUGUCAUGGGGUUCCAGCUCCUAGAUAGAGACACCGUCGAAGACCAUGGAAUCCACGUUGUUGACGUGCUCGCUCUUCCAUUUCUAAGACAUUCGGCCGCUUGUCAUUGACUCGUAGCUACUACCGCCCAUCUUCUCAGACCAAAUCUGGAGAAAACUCAGCUUAAAGUGAGAGGAAAGAAUUAUGGAGUUUGUCAUAGCUGUAGACUAAAUGGUCAUUUUUUCGCGGAAUGCCCGAACAAACGACCCUGCCCAUGGUGCAAACAUGCCUUUUUGAAGUGCUUCGAGGUGGAGAAGAACACCGACAACAAAGGUAAACUAUUCAAUACGUGCAGCAUGAAAUGUGGUUAUUGAGAGUGGGUGAAAAAGGAGGAAAGGGUGCUGAAUCAAGCUCAGUCACCAGGACACCAGAUUUGUCUUGCAUUUUCGAAACACGAUGCCGAUUAACUGAUGAACAAGAAAUGGAGAUUGCUAUGAAUGUGACUAUAUGCAAAGGAAGAGAGCACAUCACUAAAUGGGUUAAGAAUGGAAAUUCAUCAGCCUUAGCUAAAGCAUUGUCAUUCGACUGGGAUUGUAAUUUGAAUUAUUUAAAUAUAAGGAUUUGUAAACUUGAUCUCAGGUAUUAUGGAAGCUAGGAUGUUAGAAUUAUGUGUGUAUGUGUAUGUUUAAUUAGAUGGAGUUUUUGGUAAAGCCUUUGAAUUUACUGGGAAUGGUUUGAUGAUUUAGUUGAUGGGUUUUUGGGAUACCCGUUAGUGAUACAAGAUUUCCCUUUCCAUCUAGAAAAAUUUAUAUAUUUACCAUCUUUGGCUAUUCAAUUUGUUCAAAUGUUCCUUU